UACGGAGGGUGCGAGCGUUGUCCGGAAUCACUGGGCGUAAAGCGCGCGUAGGUGGCCUCGUAAGUCCGCUGUGAAAGUCAAAGGCUCAACCUUUGAAAGCCGGUGGAUACUGUGGGGCUAGAGUACGGAAGAGGCGAGUGGAAUUCCUGGUGUAGCGGUGGAAUGCGCAGAUAUCAGGAGGAACACCAAUAGCGAAGGCAGCUCGCUGGGACGUUACUGACACUGAGGCGCGAAAGCGUGGGGAGCGAACAGG
rnacentral:rRNA from 1 species